CCCGGUGCCCCCGAUACGCGCGCUCAGCAGCACUCAGAGACAUUUUUCUCCUUCACCUGCUGCAGGGACAGGUGGAAAGGGGAGAUUCCUGGCACCGCUUGGGUUUCCUUGGAGUCCACCCAUUGCCAAAAGAUAUGUUUCCAUUGAGGCAUCCAGCAAGCUGAUCCAUAGGAAUUUGGAAGAAUGGGACCCGGCUAAGAUGAGUGCCUGCUGCCCGCCCUUUGGCUCACCCUAAGGUUUGGGAGCUGCUGCUGCGCUGUUGGAGACGUCAGCCCCGGGGUGAUCCAGUGCACACUGUCGGCUCUCACACAAACUGCCUGGAAAGAGACGGGACCUCUUCAACAGUACUGCGCCUAAGAAGUGUUAUCUUACAGGCCAGAAGAAUCUUCAGACCCAAGUGCACAGCUGCAGGUCCCCAAGGACUUGCUGUGGGGGGGGCUCUGCUGGGACAGGACGCAAACGAGAGAGCCAGGGUGGACGGAGGAGAGGGAGCCGCGAGGGGCUGAGCCGGGGCCUGAACUAAACUGCACCCAGUUGCAUACCAUGGUUUCAGUGUGACCUAUGACUUCGAAGGAGUAGUCCACGCCGAGGCCAGUCAUCUCCAUCAACACUUCAUGAAUGGGCUUCGUGAAGUCUUUAGGGUUGACGCAGUCGGUGGCUCCCAGCUCUU